rnacentral:rRNA from 1 species
UACGUAGGGUGCGAGCGUUAAUCGGAAUUACUGGGCGUAAAGCGUGCGCAGGCGGUUUUGUAAGUCAGAUGUGAAAUCCCCGGGCUCCAACUGGGAACUGCGUUUGAAACUACAAGACUAGAGUGUAGCAGAGGGGGGUGGAAUUCCACGUGUAGCAGUGAAAUGCGUAGAGAUGUGGAGGAACACCGAUGGCGAAGGCAGCCCCCUGGGUUAACACUGACGCUCAGGCACGAAAGCAUGGGGAGCAAACAGG